rnacentral:rRNA from 1 species
GAUGAACGCUGGCGGCGUGCCUAAUACAUGCAAGUCGAGCGAACAGAUAAGGAGCUUGCUCCUUUGACGUUAGCGGCGGACGGGUGAGUAACACGUGGAUAACCUACCUAUAAGACUGGGAUAACUUCGGGAAACCGGAGCUAAUACCGGAUAACAUAUUGAACCGCAUGGUUCAAUAGUGAAAGGCGGCUUUGCUGUCACUUAUAGAUGGAUCCGCGCCGUAUUAGCUAGUUGGUAAGGUAACGGCUUACCAAGGCAACGAUACGUAGCCGACCUGAGAGGGUGAUCGGCCACACUGGAACUGAGACACGGUCUAGACUCCUACGGGAGGCAGCAGUAGGGAAUCUUCCGCAAUGGGCGAAAGCCUGACGGAGCAACGCCGCGUGAGUGAUGAAGGUCUUCGGAUCGUAAAACUCUGUUAUCAGGGAAGAACAAAUGUGUAAGUAACUGUGCACAUCUUGACGGUACCUGAUCAGAAAGCCACGGCUAACUACGUG